rnacentral:rRNA from 1 species
GAUGAACGCUGGCGGCGUGCCUAAUACAUGCAAGUCGAGCGAACAGACGAGGAGCUUGCUCCUCUGACGUUAGCGGCGGACGGGUGAGUAACACGUGGAUAACCUACCUAUAAGACUGGGAUAACUUCGGGAAACCGGAGCUAAUACCGGAUAAUAUAUUGAACCGCAUGGUUCAAUAGUGAAAGACGGUUUUGCUGUCACUUAUAGAUGGAUCCGCGCCGCAUUAGCUAGUUGGUAAGGUAACGGCUUACCAAGGCAACGAUGCGUAGCCGACCUGAGAGGGUGAUCGGCCACACUGGAACUGGGACACGGUCCAGACUCCUACGGGAGGCCGCAGUAGGGAAUCUUCCGCAAUGGGCGAAAGCCUGACGGAGCAACGCCGCGUGAGUGAUGAAGGUCUUCGGAUCGUAAAACUCUGUUAUUAGGUAAGAACAAAUGUGUAAGUAACUAUGCACGUCUUGACGGUACCUAAUCAGAAAGCCACGGCUAACUACGUG